AUUGAACGCUGGCGGCAGGCCUAACACAUGCAAGUCGAGCGGUAACAGAAAGCAGUAAUGCUUUGCUGACGAGCGGCGGACGGGUGAGUAAAGUCUGGGGAUCUGCCUGAUGGAGGGGGAUAACCACUGGAAACGGUGGCUAAUACCGCAUAAAGUCUUCGGACCAAAGUGGGGGACCUUCGGGCCUCACGCCAUGAGAUGAACCCAGAUGGGAUUAGCCAGUUGGUGAGGUAAAGGCUCACCAAAGCGACGAUCCCUAGCUGGUCUGAGAGGAUGACCAGCCACACUGGAACUGAGACACGGUCCAGACUCCUGCGGGAGGCAGCAGUGGGGAAUAUUGCACAAUGGGGGAAACCCUGAUGCAGCCAUGCCGCGUGUAUGAAGAAGGCCUUCGGGUUGUAAAGUACUUUCAUCGGAGAGGAAGUAUAUUGGGUAAAGAGCCUGAUAUAUUGACGUUACCCGAAGAAGAAGCACCGGCUAACUCCGUGCCAGCAGCCGCGGUAAUACGGAGGGUGCGAGCGUUAAUCGGAAUUACUGGGCGUAAAGGGCACGCAGGCGGUGCGUUAAGUCAGAUGUGAAAUCCCCGGGCUUAACCUGGGAACUGCAUUUGAAACUGGCGCGCUGGAGUCUCGUAGAGGGAGGUGGAAUUCCAGGUGUAGCGGUGAAAUGCGUAGAGAUCUGGAGGAAUACCGGUGGCGAAGGCGGCCUCCUGGACGAAGACUGACGCUGAGGUGCGAAAGCGUGGGUAGCAAACAGGAUUAGAUACCCUGGUAGUCCACGCUGUAAACGAUGUCGAUUUGGAGGCUGUUGCUUAAAGCAGUGGCUUCCGAAGCUAACGCGAUAAAUCGACCGCCUGGGGAGUACGGCCGCAAGGUUAAAACUCAAAUGAAUUGACGGGGGCCCGCACAAGCGGUGGAGCAUGUGGUUUAAUUCGAUGCAACGCGAAGAACCUUACCUGGUCUUGACAUCCACGGAAGACGGCAGAGAUGCUGUUGUGCCUUCGGGAGCCGUGAGACAGGUGCUGCAUGGCUGUCGUCAGCUCGUGUUGUGAAAUGUUGGGUUAAGUCCCGCAACGAGCGCAACCCCUGUUCUUUGUUGCCAGCACGUAGAGGUGGGAACUCAAAGGAGACUGCCGGUGAUAAACCGGAGGAAGGUGGGGAUGACGUCAAGUCAUCAUGGCCCUUACGACCAGGGCUACACACGUGCUACAAUGGCGCAUACAGAGGGAAGCGGGACAGAGAUGUUGAGCGGACCCCUUAAAGUGCGUCGUAGUCCGGAUCGGAGUCUGCAACCCGACUCCGUGAAGUCGGAAUCGCUAGUAAUCGCGGAUCAGAAUGCUGCGGUGAAUACGUUCCCGGGCCUUGUACACACCGCCCGUCACACCAUGGGAGUGGGUUGCAAAAGAAGCAGAGAGCUUAACCUUCGGGAGGGCAUCUGCCACUUUGUGAUUCAUGACUGGGGUG
rnacentral:rRNA from 1 species